rnacentral:rRNA from 1 species
GAUGAACGCUGGCGGCGUGCCUAAUACAUGCAAGUCGAGCGAACAGACGAUGAGCUUGCUCCUCUCACGUUAGCGGCGCACGUGUGAGUAACACGUGUAUAAUCCACCUAUAUUACUGGUAUAACUUCGGGAAACCGGAUCUAACACCGUAUAAUAUAUUGCACCGUAUGGUUCAAUAGUGAAAUACGGCUGUGCCGUCACUUAUAGAUGGUUCCGCGCCGCAUUAGCUAGUUGGUAAGGUAACGGCUUACCAAGGCUACGAUGCGUAGCCGACGUGAGAGGGUGGUCGGCCGCACUAGAACUGGAACGGGGUCCAGGCUCCUGCGAGAGGCAGCAGUAGGGAAUGUUACGCAGUAGGCGAGAGCAUGACAGAGCGGCGCGACGUGUGUGGUGGAAGUCUUGGGAUCGUGAUGCUGUGUUAUUAGGGAAAAACAAAUGUGUAAGGAACUGUGCACGUCUUGACGGUAACUGGUAAGAAAGCCACGGCUAACUACGUG